rfam:Camelus ferus unplaced genomic scaffold scaffold793, whole genome shotgun sequence.
GAGGAUAUAGCUCAGAAGUAGAGCACAUGCUUAGCAUGCACGAGGUCCUGGGUUCAAUCCCCUGUACUUCU